rnacentral:rRNA from 1 species
CGGGGGGAGCAAGCGUUGUUCGGAUUUACUGGGCGUAAAGGGCGCGUAGGCGGCGCAACAAGUCACUUGUGAAAUCUCCGGGCUUAACUCGGAGCGGCCAAGUGAUACUGUCGUGCUAGAGUGCGGAAGGGGCAACUGGAAUUCUCGGUGUAGCGGUGAAAUGCGUAGAUAUCGAGAGGAACACCUGCGGCGAAGGCGGGUUGCUGGGCCGACACUGACGCUGAGGCGCGAAAGCCAGGGGAGCGAACGGGAUUAGAUACCCCGGUAGUCCUGGCCUUAAACGAUGGAUGCUUGGUGUCCGGGGUUACAUAGUCCCCGGGUGCCGUCGCUAACGCCUUAAGCAUCCCGCCUGGGGAGUACGCACGCAAGUGUG